CAAUAACCACUAACGAGAAAACAUACGUAGCCGAAAAGUCUGCAAAUCUUCGAUUUCAUUGCUUUGCAAAGGGGAAAAGUGGUUCAGCCAUGAAGGUGCGAUCAUCUGUGAAGAAAAUGUGUGAGUUCUGUCGCACAGUCAAACGACGAGGGCGAGUGUAUGUGAUAUGCUCAGCUAAUCCUAAACACAAGCAAAGACAGGGCUUGUCAACUUUUGCAUAUGAAGGACCAAUACCCAGCACGUCUUUGGUUACAAGUGCAAAGCAGGAGAUGCCAUCCAGCAAUGUUAUCAGCAGUGGUCUGCCUUCUCUUAUAACCAAAAAUUCUGAAGUAUUGAUCACACCGUGGUGGAGAAGGGGUUUGGCCUCUAUUCUGCUCAAUCAGGGUAGUAAGCAGUAGAAAGACAGCCAAGAAAUUUUUAUCUGACUUCUGACUCUAUGAAUUUCCCUUCUGUUUUUUUUUUUUUUUUUUUCACUUUGGAUUUCUAAAGCCAUUUUCCUCAUUCACAAACACAUGUGGGUAGUGGGUACACCAAUGGAAUGAAAGCUGAAAGAGAAAUCUGCAGAUACUUUUAACCAGUGACAUUGGUUUUUUUUUUUUUUUAAUAUAUAAUUUUACUAA